AACAGCAACUGGACACGGCCCCUCCUCCUUCCGUUCAUUCUCUCAUUCUCUUUCCCACUCACCCCUAAUUUUUUCAAGAACAAAAGACAUGAAAUGAGCCACUCCAUCCUCUACCCUACAGCCUGAUUGGACUAGUGAAUUACUAGCCAAGCUUUCUAAACAAACAAACAAAACAGGUUUCCAAACGCAGGGCAGAGGAAGGAAGCCAAAAUAAGGAAGAAGAAAGAAAAGGAGCUCAGCCUUUCCUUCUCCUGUGGAGCCUCCCCAGCCCACCAGGGAACAUCACCUCCACCAAUAGCCACAGCAGACCCACUAUGUGCCAGUCACAUAUUAGGUCCUGGGAGAUACUGAUCCUGCUGAUGAAGGACUCACAUGCUGGUGUGUAGAGACGGGGUUUCAUCGCGUU
rnacentral:lncRNA from 1 species